GAUGAACGCUGGCGGCGUGCCUAAUACAUGCAAGUCGAGCGAAUGGAUUAAGAGCUUACUCUUAUGAAGUUAGCGGCGGACGGGUGAGUAACACGUGGGUAACCUGCCCAUAAGACUGGGAUAACUCCGGGAAACCGGGGCUAAUACCGGAUAACAUUUUGAACCGCAUGGUUCGAAAUUGAAAGGCGGCUUCGGCUGUCACUUAUGGAUGGACCCGCGUCGCAUUAGCUAGUUGGUGAGGUAACGGCUCACCAAGGCAACGAUGCGUAGCCGACCUGAGAGGGUGAUCGGCCACACUGGGACUGAGACACGGCCCAGACUCCUACGGGAGGCAGCAGUAGGGAAUCUUCCGCAAUGGACGAAAGUCUGACGGAGCAACGCCGCGUGAGUGAUGAAGGCUUUCGGGUCGUAAAACCCUGUUGUUAGGGAAGAACAAGUGCUAGUUGAAUAAGCUGACACCUUGACGGUACCUAACCAGAAAGCCACGGCUAACUACGUGCCAGCCGCCGCAGUAA
rnacentral:rRNA from 1 species